CCUACGGGAGGCAGCAGUGGGGAAUAUUGGGCAAUGGACGCAAGUCUGACCCAGCAACGCCGCGUGAGGGAAGACGGCUUUCGGGUUGUAAACUUCUUUUAUGGGGGAAGAGCAGAAGACGGUACCUCUUGAAUAAGCCACGGCUAACUACGUGCAAGCAGCCGCGGUAAUACGUAGGUGGCAAGCGUUGUCCGGAUUUACUGGGUGUAAAGGGCGUGCAGCCGGGGAGACAAGUCAGAUGUGAAAGCCCCGGGCUCAACCCGUGAACUGCAUUUGAAACUGUUUCACUUGAGUGUCGGAGAGGUAAUCGGAAUUCCUUGUGUAGAGGUGAAAUGCGUAGAUAUAAGGAAGAACACCAGUGGCGAAGGCGGAUUACUGGACGAUAACUGACGGUGAGGCGCGAAAGCGUGGGGAGCAAACAGGAUUAGAUACCCUUGUAGUC
rnacentral:rRNA from 1 species